CGGAGACGAUUAGCGCUGAGGCGCAGCGGGCUCCCGCCCAGAGGCCCGGAAUAGGCGCCGAGUUAUAAAUAGUGCGCCCGCAGGUGUGGGGGGAGCCGGCGGGAGGGGCAACCCUGGCAGCCACGGCCCCUUCAGGCCCCCAGACCCACUCACUCAGGACCCCGCCCAGAGAGAGCCUUGCCUUUCUUCCGCCAGAAGCCCUCUCCCUCCACGCUCUGCGGGCGUCUAAGUCUUCUGCAGCUGCCCCUGAGCGCACGUGGCCCAGCCAGUCCCGGCGCGGGGCUGUCACUCCGAGUCGCCGUCCCCAGCCCCAGGCUAGCGCGACCCCGACGGCUGUAGAAGGAAGGGGAAAACCCUGGCCUGGACCCCACCGGCUCCGGGCCCUCACCGACCAGACUCUGUCCGGCGGGGCCGAGAAGAAAACCCGGAGCAGUGACCGGCCUCGGGGCCCAAGGGGGACAGGGACGAUAGGAAAACCCGGAGCGGAUUCAGCGAGCGGGAGCGCCCCAGGCCUGCUGCCACCCCCUCCUUCCUACAGCCCCCCUAAUUCUCCAGUGAGAUAAUGUCUGAGGUGGGGGUCUGUUUGGCUUGGCCUGGGCCCUCAG